rnacentral:lncRNA from 1 species
GGUUCUCAAAAAUUCUGAGAAUGAUAAUUGAUUUUUGGUUGUCCUGAAAGCCUAUUAUUAUUAUUAUUAUUUUUUUUUUAGAUUGCUACAGCCAAUUCUGGAACUUCCCAAAGCCAAUGACCCAUUUUUCCAAAUGCCCUUAAAGGUGUCAAAUGUUACUCCUUUGUGGGAUGAAUGGAACUUCUGAAAUAACCAAAUAAUUUCUGAGAAGGAGAAGGCUGAUAACACAGAGUAAUGCUGACUGCCAAAAGUGAAACUGCUUUUCUCAUGACUUGUGAAUUGACACGAAAAACAAUCAGAAAAGAGAAGUCCUAAAAGUGUUCUUCAUGACAAGGCGUCAGGAUUGGCACAUAUUCUCCAAAAGUAGCAACCCAAAAGGACACGAUUUAUUUGGAUAUGUGAGUUCUAGGUUUAUAACUGCCUUGGGUCAAAUUGUAUAUAUGGGUUAAUUAAAAAAAAAACUAAACAGAGUGAACUGGCAAAAAAAAAUGAGUAUCUAAUAGUUUUAUUAUUACAGGUCUUACAUUUAAGCCUUUAAGCAAUUUUGAGUUGAUUUUUGUAUUUGGUGAGCAACGAGGUCUAGCUUCAUUCUUCUGCAGUUUUCCCAGCACCAUUUAUUCAGGAGACAGUCCGGUUAAAAUGGUGGAAUAAGUUCUGGUGUUCUAUUGCACAGUAGUGAUAUGGCUAGCAAUAUUAAUCAAACAUUUC